GGCCCCAUCUUUGCGUAAAUCCAUCACCUUGUGAAUUUUAUAAAGAAGCAAUUUCAUACGUUCCGCAAUGGCACGUCAUUCUAAGGUCCGGCGUGGAUCUGAACUUUUGUGUGAAUACUGUUCAAAGGCAUUUGCUUUCGCUUCUGAUUUAAAGCUGCACGUGAGAAGCCACACUGGCGAGAAGCCAUUUUUAUGUAAAGUUUGUUCUAAGGGAUUUUCCCAUGAGGGAAAUCUGCUGAGACACGUGAGAAUUCAUACUGGGGAAAAACCAUUUCCGUGUGCAGUUUGCUCGAAAGAGUUUUCUCAAAUGGGAGAUUUACGCAAACACUUGAGAACGCAUUCUGGGGAAAAACCAUUCUCCUGUAAAGUGUGUUCUAAGGAAUUUUCUCAACAAGUACACCUGAAAAUACACUCGAGAACCCAUACAGGAGAAAAGCCGUUUUCCUGCGAAGUGUGUUCCAGGCCUUUUUCUCAAAUUUCAAGCCUGAAAGUACACUUGAGAAUUCAUGACGGCGAAAAGCCAUUUUCCUGUGAAGUUUGUUUAAGAAAAUUUUUCCAAAAAGGACAACUGAAAUUACACAUGAGAUCCCAUACUGGCGAAAAACCAUAUGCCUGUGAAGUGUGUUCUAAAAAAUUUUCUCAUCCAACAAACCUGAAAGCACACUUGUUAUCCCAUUCUGGGGAAAAGCCACUUUCCUGUGAGUUGUGUUCAAAGGAAUUUUCUCGACAUGCACACCUGAAAUUACACUUGAGAAAUCAUACUGGCGAAAAGCCAUAUUCCUGUGAGGUGUGUUCAAAGCGAUUUUCUCAACUAGGAAACAUGAAAAGCCACUUGAGGACUCAUACUGGCGAAAAGCCGUUUUCCUGCAAAGUGUGUUUUGAGCAGUUUGCUCACUCAAAAAGCUUGAAAGUUCACGUGAGAACUCAUUCUGACGAAAAGCCGUAUGCGUGUGAAGUUUGCGCUAAAGAAUUUUUUGAAAUGGCUCACCUGAAAAGACACAUGACUCUUCAUUCUGGCAGAAAGCCACAUUCUUGUGAAGUUUGCGCUAAAGAGUUUUUUGAAAUAUCUCACCUAAAAAGACACUUGACCGUUCAUUCUGCCGAAAAGCCGUUUUCUUGUAAGCUGUGUUCUAAGAAAUAUUCUCGAUUAGAAAGCCUGAAAAAACACUUGUCAAUCCAUGCUGGCGAAGAUUAGUAUUGUACGGGAAGUUCGUCCAAACGAAUUUUUUCAAGCACGAAUUCUGAAAAAAAAAAAAAAAAAAAAGCAGAGGAAAAUGCGAUGUGGUUAAAUUCCAUAUUGCUGUAAAGUUUAAACUUAAGGGUUAUUUUCAUCUCAUUUUCCUGAAUCAACACUGGAGAUACCAAACCAAAUUCCUGUGUUAAGAGAUUUUUUCAACUAGUAAAUUCGAAGAUACACCGUAGAAUCUGUUCUGACUGAACUCUGGCAUACGAACAAUGACCGAAGAAUGUUUUCAAGUGACAUUUAAUUUUAGUAUCAGUUCAGAACACUUGUUGUAAAACUGAAAUGAAAAGAUGUCAACACAUUGACUGAUCCAAUGAACUGAAAAGGAGAUCCCAUUAGAAGUCAGAGUGCUGGAGCACUUAUGAUUCCGGACGUCCUUUUGGUAAAUCAGUGACACGCAGGAAAAUGCUGUGCUAUACAUGUUUCUCAAAGAUUUUCUGAGUUUCUCUGACCGGAAAUCCAUUAGCUUGCUAGAAAUAAGUGUUUUGCAUUUUAGAAGAAAUUCGUUCCUUUUGUAACAAAAUAAAGUCAUAUUUGUAUGAAUUCCAAUGAAGUAGCUUGUCUGCUCAUGACAACAGAUAAUAUUCUAAAGUAUUCAUCUUUGUGAAAUUUGUUGUUCUGAUGAUUUCUGUACGAUUUUUCUUCCUCUGGUGGCCAACCGUUUCACACAGAAUUGAGACUAAAUACCAUUCUCUUGGGCUUUCUGCUGUAGAAGAUUUUUGAUACCACCGAACACAACCCUUGUGACUAUCCUGACUUGGUGAUUUAAUUAUAGAAGCCAAUACAUUUUCUUGUAUAACUUCUCGUUAAAGCGUUUCCAUACCUCAACUUUCGAAGGAUGAAAAACGUCACUUAUGCAGAAAAAAAUCGUUUACUGUGUGGGUCGAAAACAUUUUCUUUUGCUUCAUAUCGAGGAGAAUAAAUAUAUAU